UAAGCCUUGUUUAUAUAAGGGUAAUUCAGAAUUACUUGGCUGCACUCGCUUGUUGAUAAAGCUGAAAUGAACUUUCACUUAGAUGUACUUUGAAGGCUAGCUUCUGGCCCAGGUCCAAGGGUGGAGUGAAGGAGAAAUCUGUCAGCAAUCAGGCCUGAUUGUAUUCAGAGUCCUAUGCAGAGGGCAGACACCAUUUUCCUUCCUCGCACAGACCCAAGGAAAGCUAUGUGCUGUAAAUUUUCUGCUGUACUCUUUAACUUCCAAAGAUCACUUGUCCAUGAGUGAUUGUCUGAGACUGUGUUCUCCAGGAGAGAACAUGAAGAAAGGGUCCUGAGAGUAGCUGGAGCCAGUUCAUAGGCCACUUCGGGGUCUGUAACCAAGUUUCCCAAACUUUCUGAUUUGUUUCCAACAAAAAUCGGUGUUGGUAAGAUGAAUAAAAACCUAAGCAUGGGAAGAAGUUGAUGGAUAGCUUUAUGUGGUGCGCAUGGAAAAAUCCUCUUCAGGAAAGUAUCCAAAUUACUAACUGGAAAAGGGUGGAAAGAAUAACUCAUGUCAGUAAAAAAAAAUUUAUGAAAAACCAAAAGGUCAGAAUUUUGGAUAUUUGUAAGUUAAGGUGUACUUUGACUUGUUCUGGAGAGAUUCAAAAACUACAAUUGAACUGAAUUACUUCCAGUGAAAUUACUUGGCUCAAAUAAUUUCCUAUUUCAUUACCUUUCUUGCCAUGAGGACAAGUGAGAUAGACCAGUGCAACUAGUAAGCCAAAUUACACAAUAUUUUUGGGGAGGCCUUGAAACAUGACAGUGUAAACUAGAUUGCAUCCACAUUUCUCUUUGUGUACUAUUACUGUAAUCAAUAAUUAAUGAUUCAAAGUAACCAAAACUUUUCUCAAAUAUUUUGCCCUCUUUCAUCUAUAUUUAGGAAGGCAAUAUAAUUUCUUGUACAAAAGGAGAAAUUUAUGUGUGACAGUACCAAUUUUAGAUUUGUU